UCCGAUAUGGUGUAGUGGCCAACAUGAUGCCCUCUCACGUACGUGCGAGGUUAGGCAUAGCCCCGAGUUCGAUUCUCGGUUUCGGAA
rnacentral:tRNA from 1 species